UCCUGGAAACCUGAAUAAUGCCUUCUUCAGUAAUUCUUUCACAAAAUGAUGCUAGUUAUUAUUCAGAGAAUGCAUGUGUAACUAUGCCCUAAACGCAUCUAUGCAUACAAGUACACAACACAUGCACACAUACUGGGAUUGCUUUGUUAAUUGCUGGUCUUUUGCAGGGCAAGCCAUGAGUGUAAGAAUGAUGUUUAUGAUAUUGGAGUCAUCUUGCUGGAAAUCAUUUUGGGGAGGCCUAUCAUGUUCCAAAAUGAAGUUGGAGUUUUGAAAGACCUUUUACAAGUAAGUUUAACGACUGAUGACACGGGUCGAAGGAGCAUUGUCGAUCCAGCAGUGCACAAGGAGUGCUCCGAUGAAUCAUUGAAGACAAUGAUGGAGAUAUGUGUGAGGUGUCUGUCCAAUGAGCCAACUGAUAGGCCUUCUGUUGACGAUAUUCUGUGGAAUUUGCAGUUUGCAGCACAAGUUCAGGAUUCAGUAAGAGAAGACUAUC